rnacentral:tRNA from 1 species
CUACAAGUAGUACAAGAAGUACAAGUACUACUACAAGUAGUACUAGUAGUAAGAGUAUUACUAGUAGUACAUACUACUAUUAGUAGU